rnacentral:lncRNA from 1 species
CAGUACCAUUUGAGAGCUGAUCUACCAAACAGCACUAGUAUUGGCUCCAGAGGAUGAAUGUUCAUCUGCCCAUUUGGUCAAAGAAAUUCUUCACACAGCCCUAAAGGAGAGUUCAUCUCAACAGUGUGCACUACGCUACAGCCAGCAAAAGGGGAAGAGAGAAAGGAAGCAGAGAUGCAGAGAAAAUGGUUCUAUUUCUUGCCAUACAGAGUUGCCAAGUACUUUUCAUUUACAUAAAUGACUUAAUGAUGAUUGUAUGAUAUUUAAAAUUACUGCCACCCACCAGAGAUGCCUUAAAACUUUUAUCAAUAUGUCACUUUUACUAUCUAUUUGAUUGUAAAAAUGUAGAUAUCAUUGGGAAAAACAUAGUUUGUUGCCAGUCCCUAAAACCCAACUCUGUGACCCUUCU